UGGGGAAUUGUUCACAAUGGGCGCAAGCCUGAUGACGCAACGCCGCGUGGAGGAUGAAGGUCUUCGGAUUGUAAACUCCUGUUGCCAGGGACGAAUGGCUCCGACCUAAUACGUCGGAGAAUGACGGUACCUGGUGAGGAAGCCCCGGCUAACUCUGUGCCAGCAGCCGCGGUAAUACAGAGGGGGCAAGCGUUGUUCGGAAUUACUGGGCGUAAAGGGCGCGUAGGCGGCCUUCUAAGUCGAACGUGAAAUCCCCGGGCUCAACCCGGGAACUGCGUCCGAUACUGGGAGGCUUGAAUCCGGGAGAGGGAUGUGGAAUUCCAGGUGUAGCGGUGAAAUGCGUAGAUAUCUGGAGGAACACCGGUGGCGAAGGCGGCAUCCUGGACCGGUAUUGACGCUGAGGCGCGAAAGCCAGGGGAGCAAACGGG
rnacentral:rRNA from 1 species